ensembl:lncRNA
CAUGGUUAUAACCAUGAUGUUAGUUUAAUCUAUAGAUUUAAAUAACAUGUAUCAUGGUUAUAACCAUGAUGUUAGUUUAAUCUAUAGAUUUUAAUAACAUGUAUCAUGGUUAUAACCAUGAUGUUAGUUUAAUCUAUAGAUUUAAAUAACAUGUAUCAUGGUUAUAACCAUGAUGUUAGUUUAAUCUAUAGAUUUUAAUAACAUGUAUCAUGGUUAUAACCUGACCCUAAACAGACGGGAAUGGAGAUCCUUUGUUGCUGCCCUACAUGCCAUAGGCAUAAAGGGCAGUAAGUAAGUACCAUGGUGACAUUAGACUAACUAAUGAUAGUGACUGCUGUCCUGACAUGUUACUGUAUUGUUUAUCUCUAUAUAGACUUGUGGAAACGACUUGAUAAGAAAAAGAAAACACAGAAACAGGAGACGAAGUUUGAUGGUAAGUGCUUAUUCCACAUGUUUUACUUUCUAAAUGAGUAACUGAGCAGUUCAUAAUAAUAGGAUGCAUAUCUUUCAUAAUAUCAAUCAUAGUCCUGGGAGGUAAGGGUUACAUUAAACUAUAUCAUGUACCAUGAUAACAUUAAUCUACUGACAGGUAUUGUGUUUAGAUUGAACUAACAUGUACCAUGAUAACAUUAAUCUACUGACAUGCAUUGUGUUUAGAUUGAAC